rnacentral:lncRNA from 1 species
GGGGCUGCCCCGGGGCCGAGGGGGGCAGGAAGGGGCUGCCCCGGGGCCGAGGGGGGCAGGAAGGGGCUGCCCCGGGGCCGAGGGGGGCAAGAAGGAGCUGCCCCGGGGCCGAAGGGGGCUGCCCCGCGGCGUUGGGCCGGACAGGAGCGGGUCCCAGGACUCCAGGAGCGGGCUGGGGACGCCGGGCCCCCUGGCAGCGCUAGCUGCUGAGCCCCCGUCCCUCAGGCGAGCGGCUGUGCAGCGCGGAGGAGGCCACGGCUGGCAGCGGGACGUACACCCGCCACGGCUUCAUCUUUUCCUCGCUGGCUGGCUGCCUGGAGAAGAGGAGCGAGGACAGCGGGGUGAGCACGGCCAUGGCGCACAUCGCCUUUCCCCAGGGCACGCAGCCCCGAACUGGGUGGGCUCCGAUGGUGCCCCCUGUGAUCUGGUGCCGGGUCCUGCCCCGAGCUAACCCUCCCAUCUGCUGCCCCACAGCUGCCUGUCGUGUCGGUGGUGAGAGAUGCCGAGUCCCAGCUCCUGCCCGACGUGGGGGCUGUGGUGACAUGCAAGGUAGGGGGCCGGAGUGCACUGGGAUCGAUGGCAGAUCUCUCAGCCUUUCUGUUCUCUGCCCCGUGCUGACCUUUCUUCCCAUACGGGGUCUUCACACUUAUGAGGGGCUUAUGAGGAGGCCACUGAUACUUUCUGCGCAACUCCCGGCAGGGCAGAGGCAGCCCAGUGGCUCCCUGGGGUCCCUCGCUCACAAAGAAGCCAUACUGGUGUGGGGGACACCUGCCUCUCCACAUUCCCUGCCUGCCCCGAGGCUGAGGUGGGCCGAUGGGGAGGUUUUCUUCGCUCUCCCUUCCAGAACUCUUUCUGGGGCAGGGUGUGGGGCGGGCAGCGCCAGGGGCGGCUCAGAGGAAGGGUGGCACAGAGCAGGGAUUAGUUUCCUUGUGGUCCCGAUGGUGGGAGAGGGACUGGGGUCAUGGCAGGUCUCGGCCUUACGGCCUUCCUCGUGGGUUUUGAGUUGCACAAGUGUCAUCUUGCUCGCCUGGCUUGCUGCCACCGCUCCUUUGGUGACAAGAAGGAGGAUGCCGAGUGAGGCAGGAGCGAGCCCUGCCCUUUCCCCACGGGGAACGGGGAGCUGGGGUGUGAGCAGGGCCAGCGAUGACCCCCUUUUCUCCCCCCCCCCCCCGGGGCAGGUUUGCAGCAUUAACUCCCGCUUUGCCAAGGUGCACAUCCUGUACGUCGGCUCCACCCCACUGAAGUCCACCUUCCGGGGGACCAUACGGUAGGGAGAGAGGGCUGGGUUCCCCACGGGUGCCCCAUCCUGGAGGGUGGGGGGGGAAGGCUUUUCUGGGGG